rnacentral:rRNA from 1 species
UACGGAGGGUGCAAGCGUUGUCCGGAUUUAUUGGGUUUAAAGGGUGCGUAGGUGGCUUGUUAAGUCCGGGGUGAAAGCCCACAGCUCAACUGUGGAACUGCCCUGGAUACUGGCGAGCUUGAGUCCAGACGAGGUUGGCGGAAUGGAAGCUGUAGCGGUGAAAUGCAUAGAUAGCUUCCAGAACCCCGAUUGCGUAGGCAGCUGACUAGGCUGGUACUGGCACUGAGGCACGAAAGCGUGGGGAGCGAACAGG